rnacentral:rRNA from 1 species
UACGUAGGGGGCAAGCGUUUGUCCGGAAUCAUUGGGCGUAAAGGGCGCGUAGGCGGCCUGGCAAGUCGGUGGUGAAAGCUCGGGGCUUAACUCCGAGUCGGCCAUCGAUACUGCGAGGCUCGAGUCGACUAGAGGCAGAUGGAAUUCCGGGUGUAGCGGUGGAAUGCGUAGAGAUCCGGAAGAACACCGGUGGCGAAGGGCGGUCUGCU